UUAAAUUCUAAGACAAGGAAGAGUACCUAUGGUAUAACAUUUUCAGAGAACUAGGGGUGGUGUGAUCCUAGUAUUGAGAGCCUUAGGGAAUGGACCUUUGAGAAGCAGAACGAAAUUUUAAAUUUUAUUUAAAAGAGUAGCAUCUGACGGAAGCUCACCGUUAAAAGAGAUAAGACAUGUUAGUGUCUGAAGUGGAGAUAUGCUUUAAGAUUUUAUACUUAUAUUUAAUUUUAAGCAUAAUUUAGGUGGUACCGCGAAUACAUAACCUCGCCCUAAUU
rnacentral:ncRNA from 1 species